UCCACACCGUAAACGAUGGACACUAGUUGUCGGGGAGCUUGCCUCUUCGGUGACGAAGCUAACGCAUUAAGUGUCCCGCCUGGGGAGUACGUCCGCAAGGAUGAAACCCAAAGGAAUUGACGGGGGCCCGCACAAGCGGUGGAGCAUGUGCUUUAAUUCGAUGCAACGCGAAGAACCUUACCUGGUCUUGACAUACCACUGACCGUAUCAGAGAUGAUAUUUUUUCUCGGAGA
rnacentral:rRNA from 1 species